AUGUCUCCAAACAGCAAGGCAGAGGAAAUCUCUGAGGCAGAUGUCUACCGAAGGCGCUGCAGCCCUCUGCCUUCUCUUCCAGAAUGCCCUCCCCAGCAACCGAACAAUGACUCCAAUCAUGCCAGCGAGCUCCGCAGACUCCAGAUGGUAAAGCUAAGGCUCAGAGGCCAUAUAGCUGAGAAUGGACAGAACCAGAAGUCCAGCCCAAGUUUGUCUGAUUUGAAAUCCCGGAUCUUCACCGUGACCCUCUAUCCACGGUGGACCGUUUGGAUACAUGGGGCCAGUGCCACAAACCAGGUCCACCAUGUGGACAGGAAGGGCCCUGCCAAACUCAAGGACUGGCUCAAGAAAUAAAUGGGCUGCACCUCAGGAGGGGGACCAGGGAAAGUGGGUUUUGGCGGCAGCAGAUGACCCCAUUCUUUGCCAAUAUUAUCAUUGCUGUUUUGCUCUUGAGUUUCAGAAACGCAAUAAAUAGUAGACGAUCUCCACCACUUGCUGGUGCAAUCUUGAGCAAUUUACCUACUCUCUGCAUGCCUCAUUUUUCCUCAUCUGUAAAAUGGAAAUAUUAAGAGCCCCUAUCUUAUAAGGUAGUUGUGAGGAUCAAGUCAAUUAAUAUGUGCAAACACCCAGAACAGUGCCUGGCACCUGGAAGCACUGUAUAUUGCUGAGGAGAUCAUCACCAUCCCCAUCUUUAUCCACAUUACCAUCACCUUGGUCUAACACCUCCCUCACAUCUCUCCAGGCAUUAUCAAGCCCUCUUGCUUAUUGCUCCCAGAGCCGUUAAUGACGCCUUUAAUAGAGUCCUCAUCACUUUGUAUCGACGCCCUGAAUAUGAGAAGGAUCCUGAUUUUCCAUCUCUGUAUCUCCAGUGCCUUCUAUGGUGCCUAGCAUAUAGUAGGCAUGCAAUAAAUGUGUUCAGUGCAUGCAACUUGGUGCUUAAUUCUAAAAAUAUGGCUUUCAGACAAGUCACAAAACCUAUCUGAUUUUUUUUUUCUUUUUGGGAUAGGGUCUCACUCUGUCGCACAGGCUAGAGUAUGGUGGCGUGGUCACAGCUCGCUGCAGCCUCAAACUCCUGGGCUCAAUCUAUCAUCUCGCCUCAGCCUCCUGAGCAGCUGAGACUAUAGGAGCAUACCACCACACCCAGCUUUUCCUUUUUCUUUUUUUUAAAUAGAGAUGAGUUCUCACUAUGGUGCCCAGGCUGGUCUUGAACUCCUGGGCUCAAGCUUCAGCCUCCCAAAAUUGUGAGCCACCACAUUUUGCCAAGGUCAUCUGAUUUUUAUAAGAUUUAAAAAUAUGUCUCCCCAGAUUAUGCCAUAGAGAUCAAAGGUACACAUGACAAUAUGUGACAAUAAAAUUGAAAGGUUUUUAAAUUGUCAAGUAGGCCAGGCAUGGUGGUUCAUACCUGUAAUCCCGGCACUUGGGAGGCCAAAGCAGAUCACUUGAGCCCAGGAGUUUGAAAUUAGCGUGGGAAACACAGUGAGACCCUGUAUCUACAAAAAAUUUAAAAAUUAGCAGGGCAUGGUGGUAUGUGUAGUCUCCGAUACUUGGGAGGUUGAGGUGGAAGGAUCUGUUUGAGCCCAGGAGUUCAAGGCUGCAGUAUGCCAGGAUCAGGCCACUGCACUCUAGCUAGGGCCACAGAGCAAGACUCUAUCUCAAAAAUAAAUAGACAAAUAAAUAAGUAAAAAUAAAUAAAUAAUAAAUUGUGAAGUGUUGAAGAUAUAAGAAAUUUCCAUUGUGAUAAUCAUUAUAUCAAAUAAUACUAACAAACCCCAUCUGAGGUCCUGAGUGCCCUGAUGACCUAGAGAUCCCCUCCCACUUCAGCAUUUAAAGAUUCAGAAGUAGAUAAUUCCUGAGAAAUAGCCCCAUGAAUGUUGCCCUAAAUAAAAAACUUUUCCAGGCUAGAGGCAGUGGCUCAUGCCUAUAAUCCCAGCACUUUGGAAGGCCAAGGCAGGCGGAUUGCUUGAGCUCAGGAGUUUGAGACCAGCCUGGGAAACAUGGCAAAACCCUGUCUCUACAAAAAAUGUAAAAAUUAGCCAGGCAUGGUAGGAGGAUACUUGAGCCCAGGAAGGUAAGGCUGCCAUGAACUAUGAUUGCGCCACUGCACACCAGCUUAGGCAACAGAGCGACACCCUGUCUCAAAAGAAAAGGGAAAACAGCCAGGCACAGUGGCUCACGCCUGUAAUCCCAGCAUUUUGGGAGGCCGAGGCAGGUGGAUCACGAGGUCAGGAGAUCGAGAUCAUCCUGGCUAACACGGUGAAACCCUGUCUCUACUAAAAAUCCAAAAAAUUAGCCGGGUGUGGUGGCGGGCGCCUGUAGUCCCAACUACUCGGGAGGCUGAGGCAGGAGAAUGGCUUGAACCCGGGAGGUGGAGGUUGCAGUGAGCCGAGAUCGCACCACUGCACUCCAGCCUGGGUGUCAGAGCAAGGCUCUGUCUCAAACAAAAAAAAAAAAGAAAAGAAAAGGAAAGCAACUCUUCUAAGGAAUCACUAUCAUUUGGAAUGUUUUAAAAUGAGCUUUUGAAAGACAGACUCCACAAAUCUAUUGAUGACCUAUUAAUUGAGCACCUAUGUGUGUCUGGCACUGGAUCUACAGAUAUGAGUUAACACCAGGUGCCUACCUCUAAGGACUCUGCUCUCUAGGAGGGGAAACAGACACCUGAUCUGAUCAUUCUUAUACAAUAUGGAGAGUGAUAAAGACACACCCACUGUGUUCAGGCCGUGGAGGAGGGACCCAAUUUGGAGGUCUGUGGAUUUUGAAAUGGAAGUAGAGAUUGGCCUAGGACAAAGGGUGCAUGUUGAAGUUCUUUUCUGGGCAGCUGUGGUUCAGAGACACCCAGGAUUCCUAAGCACACUGCUGCACAUUCUAAGAAGGCACAACUAUUGCUAUGGCAAGCCAUGUUUAAGAUGCCAGCAAGGCCGGGCGCGGUGGCUCAAGCCUGUAAUCCCAGCACUUUGGGAGGCCGAGACGGGCGGAUCACGAGGUCGGGAGAUCGAGACCAUCCUGGCUAACACGGUGAAACCCCGUCUCUACUAAAAAAAUACAAAAAACUAGCCGGGCGCCUGUAGUCCCAGCUACUCGGGAGGCUGAGGCAGGAGAAUGGCAUGAACCCGGGAGGCGGAGCUUGCAGUGAGCUGAGAUCCGGCCACUGCACUCCAGCCUGGGCGACAGAGCGAGACUCCGUCUCAAAAAAAAAAAAAAAAAAAAAGAUGCCAGCAAGAGGAAGCCUUCCUCCCGGGCCUGCGCUGGAGCUGCUGGCCUGGGGCGGGUACUCCAUCCCAAUACCCAGCACAUAGGCAUCUUUGCUCAAACAAAGCCCGUGCUGUCCCCGACUGCCACAGGAUUCCCAGCAGCCCCAAAGCCCUCGCCACUGGGUCUAUAAAUAAUAACUGAAUGUUGUCCACCUCACCUUGAAAAUGCUCACCACCACCCAUGCCCUGAGGGAGGAGCAUUAUCCUGUUGCUUCUGAUGAUUUCCUUCCUUCAAGCCCAGGCCUGUGCACCCGCUGGUCAUUAUGGAUGUGCGUCUGGUUUUCAAGAGGAUGGCUAUUCUUUGUACUUAGAUCAUUAUUUUUAAAUAAAUGAGGUGCUGUGGCAAGUGAAACAAUAGUGACUGUUCUGAAUGAUAACCCUUGGUUCACCUUGUGCAGCUGGGUAUUCCACACUAGGAAGAAAUGCGAGGGGGUCCAUAAAGGGAACCCUAAGGUUUUGAGCCAAGAAUCACUUCCCUUUUAAGGAAAGACUCUUUCAGUUCACAGGGCCGUAGGGAUACAUUUUCCUCUCAGGGCUAGCUGCGGAUUCCUAUGCAGGUGGGACUUUUUGGAGGUAGCUCCUGUGAUAAACUCUCUUCAGGAAUUAAUGCAUUGUCCCAAAUCAGGCUCCUCUGUUUUCAGCUAAUCCCCUCAAGUAACCUUCACCUUCUGCCUUGGAGGCCUGAGGGACUUGAAAGGCCACUCCCUCAUCUCCCCCAGCACCUGGCACUGCAGGUCGCAGGAAGGAACUCCAGGAAGAGGCUGGACUGGGGAGGAGGAGGAGAAGGAAGGCUUGGCAGAUCUCUCUGGCGCUGGGCCAAACACACUACAUGCAGAGAGUAAUAAGCCUCUUUUGCAAAUGACAUAGAGCCCAGAAAGAAAUUCCGCAGCCUCGAGGUGCUUGAAGUGGAACAGGCAGAGGAAGGAAGUACCAGGAGGCAGUAGCUGAUAAAAUAUAGCUCUGUGGAAGAGUCACCAGACUUGUCAAAUGGAAAAAGUGAGAACUUCUAAAAAAAAAAUAGAAUUGCAGCUGGGUGCGAUGGCUCAUGCCUGUAAUCCCAGCACUUUGGGAGGAUUGCUUGAGGCCAGGCAUUCAAUAACAGCCUGGGCAACAUAGUGAGAUCCUGUCUGUAAAAAAUUAAAAUUAAAAAAUUAGCAGGGUAUAGUGGUGUACACCUAUAGUCCCAGGUACUCAGGAGGCCAAGACAGAAGGA
ensembl:lncRNA